ACCGGCCACCCUUCCGGAGUCCGUGAUCCUGAAGGCCCAGUCGGAGCUGUACAACUACCAUGGCUCCGGCAUGAGUAUUAUGGAGAUGAGCCACCGCGGCAAGGAGUUCGAUGCCGUCAUCAAGAACGCUGAGUCCGACCUCCGCCGCCUCCUCGCCGUCCCUGACGACUACGCCGUCCUCUUCCUCCAGGGCGGCGCCACCACCCAGUUUGCCGCCGUUCCCCUCAACCUCUGCGCACCCGACGAUGCUGCGGACUACAUCGUCACCGGAUCGUGGGGCGACAAGGCCUUCAAAGAAGCCCAGAAGUUCUGCAAGCCUAAUCUCAUCUGGUCUGGUAAAUCUGACAAAUACACCAAGAUCCCGCCUUUUGAAGGCCUCGAGCAGAACCCCAACGCCAAGUACCUGCACAUUUGCGCCAAC
rnacentral:lncRNA from 1 species